GCUCACUUCAUAGCUCAGUGGUAGAGCAUCUGUUUUACAUACAGAAGCUCCCAAGUUCGAUUCCCAUCAGCA